rnacentral:rRNA from 1 species
AGUGAACGCUGGCGGCGUGCUUAACACAUGCAAGUCGAACGAGAACGGAUUAUAGCUUGCUAUAAUUGUCAGCUAAGUGGCGCACGGGUGAGUAAUGUAUAGGUAAUAUGCCUCUUACUAAGGGAUAACAAUUGGAAACGAUUGCUAAUACCUUAUAUUCCUUUUUAUCAAAAGAUAAAAAGGGAAAGAUUUAUUGGUAAGAGAUUAGCCUGUAUUGUAUCAGUUAGUUGGUGGGGUAAUGGCCUACCAAGACAAUGACGCAUAACUGGUUUGAGAGGAUGAUCAGUCACACUGGAACUGAGACACGGUCCAGACUCCUACGGGAGGCAGCAGUGGGGAAUAUUGCACAAUGGACGAAAGUCUGAUGCAGCAACGCCGCGUGGAGGAUGACACAUUUCGGUGCGUAAACUCCUUUUAUAUAAGAAGAUAAUGACGGUAUUAUAUGAAUAAGCACCGGCUAACUCCGUGCCAGCAGCCGCCGUAAUAC